AGUGAACGCUGGCGGUAGGCCUAACACAUGCAAGUCGAACGGCAGCACAGUAAGAGCUUGCUCUUACGGGUGGCGAGUGGCGGACGGGUGAGGAAUACAUCGGAAUCUACUUUUUCGUGGGGGAUAACGUAGGGAAACUUACGCUAAUACCGCAUACGACCUACGGGUGAAAGCAGGGGAUCUUCGGACCUUGCGCGAUUGAAUGAGCCGAUGUCGGAUUAGCUAGUUGGCGGGGUAAAGGCCCACCAAGGCGACGAUCCGUAGCUGGUCUGAGAGGAUGGUCCGCCACACUAGAACUGAGACAGGGUCCAGACUCCUACGGGAGGCAGCAGUGGGGAAUAUUGGACAAAGGGCGCAAGCCUGAUACAGCCAUACCGCGUGGGUGAAGAAGGCCUUCGGGUUGUAAAGCCCUUUUGUUGGGAAAGAAAAGCAGCAGGUUAAUACCCCGCUGUUCUGACGGUACCCAAAGAAUAAGCACCGGCUAACUUCGUG
rnacentral:rRNA from 1 species